GUCGUACACGCACCUGGGACCGUGACGUCCCCGUUUGGGGACUUUGCGUGCAGGCCCCGCCCCGCCGUACUCUCCUUCCCGAUCCCCUCCUCCCAGGAGAGUGGACAGAACUCUGGGCGCGCAGGCAGGGCUCGGCCCCGGGGCAGACCUCACUUUCUGCGGUGGAGAGCUGCGGUGUCCCGUGAGCUGGCCUGGCCGCCCGAGGCCGCGAAAGGCCCAGGGCUUUGUAAAUGGGCUCGGACCCAGAACUCAGGUGGCGCGAAGAAAGACGCGUGACGUGGGAACCCGCGUCCUCACUGAAUACGUGGCGCGUGGGGCCCACCUUCAGGGAGCAGAAGUUCUGGAGCAGGAUUUCAGCUGAACCUGAAUAACAUCAUACCUUUGGAGAGUCACACCUGUUUCAUGCAGAAUCAGCUAUUACCAUACAGCCCUACCACUACUGACUUUAAAAAACUGUGCUUUGGAGAUAUUUGGAUCCCAGACAUGUCCAUUAGUUUCGUAAUGAGCACAUUUUAUAUAAUACAGAAACAUAAACUGAAAAAGCUUAUUGUCCAGAUGGUAAUAGGAGUGCUGUGUGACAAAUUGUGUUCCAUAUUUUGUGGACUGUGAACACUGAACAAUGUGUCCUUUGAACACAAACAUUGUUUUCAAAAGGCUAAAUCUCUGAAGAUAAGCAUUUUUCAAUCACAAAUCCUUUCCCCCAAAUGUAUAUUUUAUAUUGCUCGAAAUGGAUCAAACUAGCAUAGGAAACUGAUAAAAAUAGUAAGGCAAAAUAUUAAGAUGUUAUCAAGAAUCAUCUUAAUUACUAAAAUAUUACAAAUGAUAACUAUUAGAGUCUUAGCAGGCACUAUAUUUUUCAAAGCACAUUUUUGUGCACUGUUUUAUUCUCACUGCUGCCACUUCAACCCCCUGUCUAGGGGGUUAUGAUUAUUCUCAUCUGACAGUUGCGGAAAUAAGGUCUGGAGUGAGUCAGCAGUACAGGUGUAGACAGAAGCCUGUGACUUUGUUAUUAUAUCUCACCUCUCUGGCCAACCCUUGUGUGGUCAUAAGAUGGUGGGAUUAGUUCAAACCCUCCGAACACGUCUUCCAACUUUCAGACUCCACCCUUCCACAACAAAAGAUGUGCAUUCUCACUAGACAAUGCUUUUAAAAACAUUGCUUUUUUCCCAUCACCACACUAUUUCGAAACUCUGGGCGGAUCUCCACUUCUGAAAGGAUUCCAUCAGCCUUCACAGAAUGCAUUUUCAGUAUGACCUUCAUCUGCUGUUCUAACUCAUGUCCAGAUUCCUCAGUGCUAACUCUCAUUGCAGUCAAACCAGUGUGUCCAUUUCCCCUAGCAAAUGUCUUAGUCGCAUCUGCCUUUGCUCCUGUUGGUUUGACAAGGGAAGAUGCCUCCUGUUGGCCCAUCUAUACUUAUCAAAUCUUACUUAGUCCCUGGAGCCUUGUCUGCUUACAUCAUUCCUGACUAAUACUACCUUCCACUAACAGCAUUAAAGUAGACCAGCAUUGUCUAAUGGAAAUGUAAUGAGAAUCACAUAUAUAGUUUCUAAUAGUUAUAUU